UGGGGAUAUGGCGGAAUUGGUAGACGCAACAGACUUAAAAAAAAACUGUUCAUUGAACCGUGAGGGUUCAAGUCCCUCUAUCCCCAU
rnacentral:tRNA from 1 species